UUAGGUGGCCAAUGAAUCUCUUCCUAUAUUGGACUUGAAACUUAGAAAAUUACACAGUAAAGCAACAAAGCUCAAGAAAUGUACAAAACCAUGUUUGAUGCCACAAGGAACAGGAAAAGUGAAGCAUCAUAUGAAGAAGUAAUACAUUAAUCAAGCCAACAUGGGAAGGAGAAAACAGAUGAAAUAUAGUCAAGCCAUGGGCUUCGACAAAGUUCUCAGAGAAACAGACUCCCAGACGACGCUGGCCAUUCCCUGGCAACGGCCAGGUUUGCCAUUAUCCAGCCACUCUGAGACCUGUUAUCAGGCCUGAGGCAGGAUCUUGCUAUGUUGCCCAGGCUGGUUUUGAACUU
rnacentral:lncRNA from 1 species